rnacentral:rRNA from 1 species
CACACGACCGUACCGCAAACCGACACUGGUGCGCGAGAUGAGUAUUCUAAGGCGCUUGAGAGAACUCAGGAGAAGGAACUCGGCAAAUUGACACCGUAACUUCGGAAGAAGGUGUGCCUUUAGUAGGUGAACCAUUUACUUGGGGAGCCCAAUGAGGCUGCAAAAAAUCGGUGGCUGCAACUGUUUAUUAAAAACACAGCACUCUGCUAAGACGGAAGUCGACGUAUAGGGUGUGACGCCUGCCCGGUGCUGGAAGAUUAAAUGAUGGGGUGCAAGCUCUUGAUUGAAGUCCCAGUAAACGGCGGCCGUAACGAUAACGGUCCUAAGGUAGCGAAAUUCCUUGUCGGGUAAGUUCCGACCUGCACGAAUGGCGUAAUGAUGGCCACACUGUCUCCUCCUGAGACUCAGCGAAGUUGAAAUGUUUGUGAUGAUGCAAUCUCCCCGCGGAAAGACGGAAAGACCCCAUGAACCUUUACUGUAGCUUUGUAUUGGACUUUGAACAGAUCUGUGUAGGAUAGGUGGGAGGCUUUGAAGUGUGGUCGCUAGAUCGCAUGGAGCCAACGUUGAAAUACCACCCUGGUGUGUUUGAGGUUCUAACCUAGGUCCAUUAUCUGGAUCGGGGACAGUGCAUGGUAGGCAGUUUGACUGGGGCGGUCUCCUCCCAAAGUGUAACGGAGGAGUUCGAAGGUACGCUAGGUACGGUCGGACAUCGUGCUAAUAGUGCAAUGGCAUAAGCGUGCUUAACUGCGAGACUGACAAGUCGAGCAGAUGCGAAAGCAGGACAUAGUGAUCCGGUGGUUCUGUAUGGAAGGGCCAUCGCUCAACGGAUAAAAGGUACUCUGGGGAUAACAGGCUGAUACCGCCCAAGAGUUCAUAUCGACGGCGGUGUUUGGCACCUCGACGUCGGCUCUUCUCAUCCUGGGGCUGUAGCCGGUCCCAAGGGUAUGGCUGUUCGCCAUUUAAAGAGGUACGUGAGCUGGGUUUAAAACGUCGUGAGACAGUUUGGUCCCUAUCUUCCGUGGGCGCUGCAGAUUUGAGGAAGCCUGCUCCUAGUACGAGAGGACCGGAGUGGACGAACCUCUGGUGUAUCGGUUGUCACGCCAGUGGCAUUGCCGAGUAGCUAAGUUCGGAAGAGAUAACCGCUGAAAGCAUCUAAGCGGGAAACUCGUUUCAAGAUUAGAUCUGCCGGGGCCUUGAGCCCCCUAAAGAGUCGUUCAAGACCAGGACGUUGAUAGGUCAGGUGUGGAAGCCA